UACGGAGGGUGCAAGCGUUACUCGGAUUUACUGGGCGUAAAGAGCACGUAGGCGGUUUGAUAAGUCUGAUGUGAAAGCCCACGACUCAAUCGUGGAAGUGCAUUGGAUACUGUCAGGCUAGAGUAUAGGAGGGGUGAGCGGAAUUCCAGGUGUAGAGGUGAAAUUCGUAGAUAUCUGGAGGAACAACGGAGGCGAAGGCGGCUCACUGGACUAUUACUGACGCUGAGGUGCGAAAGCGUGGGGAGCGAACGGG
rnacentral:rRNA from 1 species